UUAAAAGCUCUUUUGUUAGGGAAGAAAAGGUGUAUUGAAUAAAUGCAAUUCAUGACGGUACCUAAAGAAUAAGCACCGGCUAACUACGUGCCAGCAGCCGCGGUAAUACGUAGGGUGCGAGCGUUAAUCGGAAUUACUGGGCGUAAAGCGUGCGCAGGCGGUUACAUAAGUCAGAUGUGAAAUCCCCGGGCUUAACCUGGGAACUGCAUUUGAGACUGUGUAGCUAGAGUGUGUCAGAGGGGGGUAGAAUUCCACGUGUAGCAGUGAAAUGCGUAGAGAUGUGGAGGAAUACCGAUGGCGAAGGCAGCUCCCUGGGAUAACACUGACGCUCAUGCACGAAAGCGUGGGGAGCAAACAGGAUUAGAUACCCUGGUAGUCCACGCCCUAAACGAUGUCUACUAGUUGUUGGGUCUUAAUUGACUUGGUAACGCAGCUAACGCGUGAAGUAGACCGCCUGGGGAGUACGGUCGCAAGAUUAAAACUCAAAGGAAUUGACGGGGA
rnacentral:rRNA from 1 species